rnacentral:rRNA from 1 species
UACGAGGGGGGGCAAGCGUUGUUCGGAAUUAUUGGGCGUAAAGGGUGCGUAGGCGGCGCGGUAUGUCUCUUGUGAAAUCUCCAGGCUCAACUUGGAGUCUGCAAGGGAAACUGCCGUGCUUGAGUACUGGAGAGGUGAGUGGAAUUCCCGGUGUAGCGGUGAAAUGCGUAGAUAUCGGGGAGGAACACCUGUGGCGAAAGCGGCUCACUGGACAGUAACUGACGCUGA